AACCAUGGCCACGAUCGGUGUUAUUGUUGUUUGUUAAAAUAUUGUGAGUGCUCUAAAAGCAAAUGAAUAUUCAAGAUCUUAUAUUCUAAAAGAUAUUAGUGGAUGCAGAUAAGAGUGUUUAGUGAGUGCUAUGUUUGAAUAUUGCAAGUGAAAACACAGCCCAUCGAUGUAAUGCGCUAAAAAACUGCAAUGGCUCCGAAUACAUGAUUACCAGAUAACAAAUCCUGGCGCAGCUUACGUGUGUGCUUCUAUAACGUCGCAAGCUACAGUGGCUGUUCAUAAUUUUUGCAAGUUCUACACCUACAGGAUUCAGUUAUCUGGGCAUUAUAGAUACCCUAUUAUCACCUAAGAAGUUAUUUAGGUAUGUUUAUUAAA